rnacentral:rRNA from 1 species
GACGAACGCUGGCGGCGUGCUUAACACAUGCAAGUCGAACGGUGAAGGGACUGGUUUUGCUGGUCCUGGAUGAGUGGCGAACGGGUGAGUAACACGUGAGUAACCUGCCCCCUUCUUCUGGAUAACCGCAUGAAAGUGUGGCUAAUACGGGAUAUUCUGGGUCUGUCGCAUGGUGGGCCUGGGAAAGAUUGCGCCUUUUUUGGUGUUUUUGGUGGGGGAUGGGCUCGCGGCCUAUCAGCUUGUUGGUGGGGUGAUGGCCUACCAAGGCGGUGACGGGUAGCCGGCCUGAGAGGGUGGACGGUCACACUGGGACUGAGACACGGCCCAGACUCCUACGGGAGGCAGCAGUGGGGAAUAUUGCACAAUGGGCGCAAGCCUGAUGCAGCGACGCCGCGUGAGGGAUGGAGGCCUUCGGGUUGUGAACCUCUUUCGCCAGUGAAGCAGGCCUGCCUCUUUUUGUGGGUGGGUUGACGGUAGCUGGAUAAGAAGCGCCGGCUAACUACGUG